rnacentral:rRNA from 1 species
UACGUAGGGACCAAGCGUUGUCCGGAUUUAUUGGGCGUAAAGAGCGUGUAGGCGGCCAGGUAGGUCUGCUGUGAAAACUCGAGGCUCAACCUCGAGACGUCGGCGGAAACCAUCUGGCUAGAGUCCGGAAGAGGAGAGUGGAAUUCCUGGUGUAGCGGUGAAAUGCACAGAUAUCAGGAAGAACACCCGUGGCGAAGGCGGCUCUCUGGGACGGUACUGACGCUGAGACGCGAAAAGCGUGGGGGAGCGAACAGG